GGAAGUUAAUAAACUGUUUCUUAACUUUUAACUAAAAAAAGCUAAGAACCGGUUCUUAAAUAAGGACUUUAAGAACCGGUUCUUAGUUUUUUUAGUUAAAAGUUAAGAAACAGUUUCUUAAUUUCC
rnacentral:pre_miRNA from 1 species